GUGAACGCUGGCGGUGCGCCUAAGACAUGCAAGUCGAGCGGCCCGCAAGGGCAGCGGCGAACGGCUGCGUAACACGUGGGUACCUACCCCGAACUCAGGGAUACCCCUCCGAAAGGAGGGUUAAUACCGGAUGCCCCCGCAAGGGGAAAGAUUUUUCGGUUCGGGAGGGGCCUGCGGCCUAUCAGCUAGUUGGUAAGGUAACGGCUUACCAAGGCUAUGACGGGUAGCUGGUUUGAGAGAACGACCAGCCAGAAUGGAACUGAGACACGGUCCAUACUCCUACGGGAGGCAGCAGUUAGGAAUCUUCCGCAAUGGGCGAAAGCCUGACGGAGCGACACCGCGUGAAGGAUGAAGCCCUUUUUGGGUGUAAACUUCUGUUGUGAGGGACGAAAUUUUUGACGGUACCUCACGAGAAAGCACCGGCUAAUUCUGU
rnacentral:rRNA from 1 species